rnacentral:rRNA from 1 species
UACGAAGGGUGCAAGCGUUAAUCGGAAUUACUGGGCGUAAAGCGUACGUAGGCGGAUUGUUAAGUGAGGGGUGAAAUCCCGAGGCUCAACCUCGGAACUGCCUUUCAUACUGGCAAUCUUGAGUCCGGGAGAGGUGAGUGGAACUCCUAGUGUAGAGGUGAAAUUCGUAGAUAUUAGGAAGAACACCAGUGGCGAAGGCGGCUCACUGGCCCGGAACUGACGCUGAGGUACGAAAGCGUGGGGAGCAAACAGG